GGGCUAGUACUGGUUUCGACAGGGAUUCUGAAGAUGGAGAAGCUAUCCGCGGGUGAUGCGUUAAAUCACAAACUUAAAAUUAAACGCAAACGAAAAUUACGCGUUAGCAGCCUAAUUGCUGCUUGUCAGCCCCGAGGGCACUCACACUUCGGGAAUCUGGCAUCGACCCUGUGAGAAACGAUACCGACAAAGCUUUGAGUCUGUAGGCGUAUUAUGAAGCUACUGACCCCGUAAGAGUGUUAGUUCUCGUGCGGCAGAGGGAAUGAAAAAGAACUGACUAUGAUAGUAGAAGUACAUGGGAUGAGUUUUUGGACGCGGGUUCGACUCCCGCCUGGUCCACUU
rnacentral:tmRNA from 1 species